rnacentral:rRNA from 1 species
GACGAACGCUGGCGGCGUGCCUAAUACAUGCAAGUUGAGCGCUGAAGGUUGGUACUUGUACCAACUGGAUGAGCAGCGAACGGGUGAGUAACGCGUGGGGAAUCUGCCUUUGAGCGGGGGACAACAUUUGGAAACGAAUGCUAAUACCGCAUAAAAACUUUAAACACAAGUUUUAAGUUUGAAAGAUGCAAUUGCAUCACUCAAAGAUGAUCCCGCGUUGUAUUAGCUAGUUGGUGAGGUAAAGGCUCACCAAGGCGAUGAUACAUAGCCGACCUGAGAGGGUGAUCGGCCACAUUGGGACUGAGACACGGCCCAAACUCCUACGGGAGGCAGCAGUAGGGAAUCUUCGGCAAUGGACGAAAGUCUGACCGAGCAACGCCGCGUGAGUGAAGAAGGUUUUCGGAUCGUAAAACUCUGUUGGUAGAGAAAAACGUUGGUGAGAGUGGAAAGCUCAUCAAGUGACGGUAACUACCCAGAAAGGGACGGCUAACUACGUG